CGGAAAAGUCUCCGAAUUGGACCGAGGUUUUGGCUAGCCCCCCAUUGUCAGACGUCCCGAGCGCGUUCCCGAAGUCGGAAUCGGCAAAGGUGAGCCGGGACAGCCUUCUUCCUCCGCCCAGCCGCCACAGUAAUUUGUCGUCAAGUUUGCCACAGGAGGAUAUUUUGUUCUGAGUUAACCUGCCUUUCUACUUCGCAGGUUGUUUAUUAAUAUUUGUGUAAUUUUAAUUACUCCUAGAAUUUCCGCAUGUGUUAGCAGUAAUUAUUUGAAUUUGGUCUAUAAUAUUAUUAUCAUGUUGGACCUGUAAACUUAAUAUUUUAAGUCUGUUUUGAUGGAUUGGAUGAGGGAGCUGAGCUCCCAUUUAUUAUUA